CAGCACCCUUCCAGGGGUUUACCUAAGAAACUCUUUAAAAGUUGUAUGUUGCUUGUGUAAAGUUGUCAGCUACUUUCUAUCUAUUUGCUGGCCCACCCAUCACCAAGAUAUAAAGAAGAAUCUCGCCGUGUGUGUGUGUGCGCGCGUGCUCAGAGACUUGGGAGUUGCUGCUCCCCACAAGCUGACUGCUUGGUUGAGCUACUUAAAAGGGAAACUUACCUAAAAGGGGGAAUCAAACCCAGCUCCCACUCUGUGAGAACAGAAGGGACCCGCCAAAGACCCGCCAAAGAUUCAGACCCGGACUUGAGUUCUCUCUGGAUGCAGAGAGUGGUGGCAGCGACUACUGGACCCACAUUGGAGUAGGGAUGAGUGAGUGAAACUGCCUAAACUCCAGUGGGGACUCCAUUUCACCUGUCUUCUGUGAAUUUGUUUAAGCCCCUUUUUAAAGUAGCCCAAGCUGGUAGCCAGAACAACUGGUGGCAGAGAACUUCAGAAACAUACAGAAUGAAGAGCAGUCUCUGGUCAUAUGCAAACCACUGAAUGAGCUUCUUCACUCUGCGGAUAGUUUACUUUGGGGUGGCAGGGGUGCUGUGGACUGUUCUAGGGACUCCUGAAUAAAAAUGACUUAAUGAA